AUGAUAUGUGAACAUGAGUAUCCUCUAUCUAUUGUGGAUAAGUUUGAGAAGUAUUGGAAGGAUAAGUUUGAGAAGUAUUGGAAGGAUAUCCAUGGUCUUAUGUCCGUUGUAACAGUUCUUGAUCCAAGGUAUAAACUUCAUAUCCUCAAUGCUCUUUAUGGUCCCCUCUAUGGAAGAGAGCAUGCAGCCGCAGAAAUAGAAAAGGUGAAGAAGUUAUUGAUUCAAUUGGUGAAGCAAUAUAAAGAUGAAGUUGGAGGUGAGGAUGCAUGGGAUGCUUCUGUUGUUGAGCAACUUGGAGAAGAAGAUGAAGCCAUGAAACUCUAUGAUCUGUAUUUGUCUAGUCACCCCACUGUCCCUUCUUCUUCAAUCCAUACAGAAUUGGACUUGUAUUUAGAAGAAGCUCGUCUACCUAGAACGCAAGAAUUGGAUAUCAUCAAUUGGUGGAAGGUUAGCGGCUCUAGGUUUCCUACCUUGCAAAAACUUGCUCGUGAUAUAUUGCCUAUUCCCAUAACAUCGGUGGCUUCCGAAUGUGCGUUUAGCACUAGUGGCAGAGUACUCGCACAUCGUAGUAGACUUACUCCUAGUGUGGCUGAAGCUCUCAUGUGCAUGCAAGCUUGA
rnacentral:rRNA from 1 species